UUUAUCCUAAAAUACAGCUCCUCUCAUCUCACUGGAACCCACACACUAAAUUAGGGACUUCUGGCUGCCAGAAUUCAUUUGUGUUCUUGGAUUUUCACUUUGAAAACUUCCAAAGGAGAUGAGGAAUCCUGCUGAUAGCAGAGUAAGCCUCAGCAAUGGAAGUCAAACUGGUGAUAAAUAUAAAGAAAACCUUAAUCAGCUUUAAUGAAUACAAACAGCAUAAUGCCUGAACCAGGGGUGUCCAGGGAAAUGUUCAGCAUGGUUCAUCGGCAGGAUUCAACAAUUUUUUAAAAGAGAGACUAUUGCGCUUGGACUUCCACUGAGCAAUGGAGGGGGUAGCAGUCAAUUGGAAAGAAUGCAGACUGAAAUCUGUACCAGAAGUUAGUCCAUGCAAAUGAGCGAAGCCAAGGGCUCACUGCUUGAGCCCUACCAGAAAGUUGAUUCAUUUACUGUGAUCCAGCUUCCCCAUCUGUCAGAUGAGAAUGUAAUAGCAAUUCUGUGCCUCUUAAAAGAUUUCCUAUCUGAAGAGCUCCCUACCACCAAGCCAACAAGAUCCAGAUGUAAUUUCACUGAUGAGCAAGACAUCUCUGCCAACUGAAUUUCUAUUGAUUAGCAUUUGACUUUGUUUGUCAGCAAAAAGAAAAACGUAUUCUUUAAUGGCAUGUUUUGGUACAUAACCAGUGGGUACAUGUCAGGAGGGAGGGCAUAGAUGGAGGGGUCUCUUUCAAAAGCUGAUGAAAACAUAUUAGUGUGUACGAUCAUUUCUGCUCUCAGCCAUAUAAAUAGCAUCUGUAAUCUUAAAACAGCCAACAUCCUGCCCUGAAGAUGAAAGGGAGAGUUGGCUUAAUGUUCUUUGGCGCUGGAAGCUGUUGUGGCCUGAGAUGGAUGGGGACAUCAUGUACUGACCAUGGGGCCAAUGUCACUCAUAGUCCACCCAGCCUCCUGGCCCCUCGUCCCUGGAGGGCUUGAGGGGGUUACACACAAGCCAGUCAUUCUCACCAGGUGGGAGGAGUAACAACUUCUGAUAACAAAUUACAGCUGUUUGGGGUGACAUAAAAGCAUGAAGGUAGGUUUCUCACCAGACUAGCCUGGAUGGGGAUUUUUUUGGUCAAACAGAGCAGACCUAGAUUUUUAUAAACCAUCACACACUACAUGGACGGGCUACAAAUUACGUUAGGGGCCCAAGGACUGAAACCAUCCACUUUGGCCAGGCAUGAUAAUAACAACUUGCAUGAGUUGUUUCACAGCAGGAGGCCCUGAUAAGGAACACGGUGCUGCCCUGAAGACUAACCAGGAGGAGGUGGGAGGGACCCGACCUCCCAGAAUUCUUGGUGCUCGAAUCCAUCUUGGCUGAGAGGUGUGUGUGCAGCCAGGAAGGACCCUGAGCCAGACCAAGGAAGAGCCGAGUGAGACAAUUGGCCAGAGACAGCCCAGAAACUAACUCCCAUUCCGAUAAAACCUGAGAUCGAGAGCCACAUGGCAGAGCAGUUCUCCUGGGUUCCCUUCCCCGCUGCGUGCCUCCUGGGUGGGUGCCGUUUCCCAAUUCUUGGGCCUUGGAAGGGGUCCCCCUUCCUGCAACAGUUACAGACUACUAUACUAUUUUACCAAGAACUUUUUUACAUGUUAUUUCAUCGAGUCAUGACUACAAAUCCCAUGAGAUAGUUAUUAUUAUCAUCUCUCUAUGUCAUGGCCCAAAGAUAUUCAAGGCCCGGAAAUAUUAAAUGACUCAUCCAAUAUUAUUCAACAUGUAAGUUAUAGACUUAAAGUUUGAACCCAUGUCUCUGGCCCUAAGUCCAGUUUCCAUCCAACACAACAGCCUAUCCAUCUCCUUUACUAAGGGAAUAUACUUUCUAUGAUUUUCAAGCAAAACUUUUAUUUUCCAUUGGUACAAUUUUUUUCCUAAUGAGUUAUUUUCCAUUGGUACAAUUUUUUUCCUAAUGAGGACCUGUUAUUACUAAAUCAUAUAAUAUUUUAAUAAUUUAUGAAUGCAAAUAAUGUGUUACUUAGGUGUCAUAGGAAAGAACAUGAGAAAUCAGUGUUAAUAUUGCCACUAACCCUGGACCUAUCACUUGAAAGUCUUGAUUUCUUUAUCAAAUGGAUAUGCUUCUUUCACAUUAACCUGUGUGUCCCUACAUUAUGAGAUAGAAGCAAAAGGGUGCACAACGUGAUUAACACAAAAUUUUCCAGGAAUGGCUUAAAUGAAAUAGAUUUUCUUAAAGUGAUUGACCAAAGACCUAUCAAGAGUUUCCAUUCAAUUCCCUGUGCAGUUAAGAGUGUUUCUGGUUAAUUGUCGCCCUCCAGGAAUUAAGAGGUCAGAAUGCCCUCAGAGCAUGAAGAUAAAAUGCAGAGUAACAAGAGAAAAAUAGGAAAAUUGGCAUAAAAAUAUGGGAUCCUUCAGUCUAUAUAAAUUCAAGAGAGAGUAUAUUUUCUGAGAGAGUCCACCUGCUCUGAGGUGGUAGUAAGAAUUUAGUUAGCUGAAAAAGGGCAAGCAACUUCCUUCAAGCAAUUAAGAUGCUGUUUCAGGAGUUCCCGUUGUAGCUCAGCGGAAGCGAAUGCGACUAAUAACCAUGAGGUUGAUGGUUCAAUCCCUGGCCUCAC